rnacentral:rRNA from 2 species
GUGCCUUCGGGAACUGUGAGACAGGUGCUGCAUGGCUGUCGUCAGCUCGUGUUGUGAAAUGUUGGGUUAAGUCCCGCAACGAGCGCAACCCUUAUCCUUUGUUGCCAGCGGUCCGGCCGGGAACUCAAAGGAGACUGCCAGUGAUAAACUGGAGGAAGGUGGGGAUGACGUCAAGUCAUCAUGGCCCUUACGACCAGGGCUACACACGUGCUACAAUGGCGCAUACAAAGAGAAGCGACCUCGCGAGAGCAAGCGGACCUCAUAAAGUGCGUCGUAGUCCGGAUUGGAGUCUGCAACUCGACUCCAUGAAGUCGGAAUCGCUAGUAAUCGUGGAUCAGAAUGCCACGGUGAAUACGUUCCCGGGCCUUGUACACACCGCCCGUCACACCAUGGGAGUGGGUUGCAAAAGAAGUAGGUAGCUUAACCUUCGGGAGGGCGCUUACCACUUUGUGAUUCAUGACUGGGGUGAAGUCGUAACAAGGUAACCGUAGGGGAACCUGCGGUUGGAUCAC